CGAAGCCCCGCCUCUUCCGGCAGCUUGUUUGGGAGGUGGUGUUUCCUCCUGCAGGUGGAGACUUUACUGGAGUCACAGCUCUGCGGUGACGUCACUGUGAGCCCUCCCUUCCUUUCUCUCCGAGUCGCUGACCCAGAGGAGGAAGUUGAAUAUGUGCAGUCUGUUCGUGCCUUUAACCAACGCUCUGCUGACCCCUGCUGGCCACAGGAGGGAACACACCACCACUUUGGGGAUUUGAUGGGCAACGCUGCAACUCCAAAAUAAAAACUCCAACAGUU